GCCCUAGUAACGGCGAGUGAAGCGGCAACAGCUCAAAUUUGAAAUCUGGCGCAAGCCCGAGUUGUAAUUUGUAGAGGAUGCUUCUAGGUAGCGACCGGUCUAAGUUCCUUGGAACAGGACGUCAUAGAGGGUGAGAAUCCCGUAUGUGACCGGCCCGCACCUUCUACGUAGCUCCUUCGAAGAGUCGAGUUGUUUGGGAAUGCAGCUCUAAAUGGGAGGUAAAUUUCUUCUAAAGCUAAAUACCGGCCAGAGACCGAUAGCGCACAAGUAGAGUGAUCGAAAGAUGAAAAGCACUUUGGAAAGAGAGUUAAAAAGCACGUGAAAUUGUUGAAAGGGAAGCGCUUACAACCAGACUUCUGGGCGGUGUUCCGCCGGUCUUUUGACCGGUCUACUCUCCGUCCCGAGGCCAACAUCAUCUGGGACCGCUGGAUAAGACCUUAGGAAUGUAGCUCCCCUCGGGGAGUGUUAUAGCCUCUGGUGAUGCAGCGCGUCCCGGGUGAGGUCCGCGCUUCGGCAAGGAUGUUGGCGUAAUGGUUGUCAGCGGCCCGUCUUGAAACACGGACCAAGGAGUCUAACAUCUAUGCGAGUGUUCGGGUGUCAAACCCCUACGCGUAAUGAAAGUGAACGGAGGUGGGAAGCGCAAGCUGCACCAUCGACCGAUCCUGAUGUCCUCGGAUGGAUUUGAGUAAGAGCAUAGCUGUUGGGACCCGAAAGAUGGUGAACUAUGCCUGAAUAGGGUGAAGCCAGAGGAAACUCUGGUGGAGGCUCGCAGCGGUUCUGACGUGCAAAUCGAUCGUCAAAUUUGGGUAUAGGGGCGAAAGACUAAUCGAACCAU
rnacentral:rRNA from 1 species